GUCCACGCCCUAAAACGAUGUGUGCUGGGCGUCGGGGGGCUUGCCCCUCGGUGCCGGAGCUAACGCGGUAAGCACACCGCCUGGGGGAGUACGGCCGCAAGGUUAAAACUCAAAGGAAUUGACGGGGGCCCGCACAAGCGGUGGAGCAUGUGGUUUAAUUCGACGCAACGCGCAGAACCUUACCAGCCCUUGACAUGGGCGCCGCCGCCGGGGGAGACCCCGGCUUCCCUUCGGGGGGCGUUCACAGGUGCUGCAUGGCUGUCGU
rnacentral:rRNA from 1 species